rnacentral:misc_RNA from 1 species
UCUUUGGGCUUUAUAAGACAACACUUGCAGAUGGCAACCAUUGACAGAACCGUUGUUUAAGCACGGAGUGUCAGCGAUAUACUCUUCCAGUGGACAUCCAAGUUAACGAUGAAGCUUUCCCUGAGAAUCAGGGGCCAGUGGCUAGCGCUACCCUGUAAUGGCAAGGAGAAGAUCUCUUGGCUUGGGGACGAGGGCCUGAAGAGGUACUACAAGACCAAGAGCAAGGUUGGCCAUGCGGAGGAGACUGUGUACGAGAUUCGCAAAGCAAAAGGUGGGGCUAUACUGGACCCCGAUGACGCUGUGAGGGACGUCCUAGACGACAACGACUUCGUCACUGUUGUUCUGGACAGCGAUAUGUCCAGUCCGGUGACCGGGCCGGCUGAGAUUGUGUACAUGGAGGAGAAGGUACCUAAAGCCAGCGUGAAGACAGCGUCAGAUUAUAUCUCUUUGGAUGGAAACAGCUUAGCCGCGGACGAUCUCGUGAGACUGGGAAAAGGAAUGUUCCUUGUAAAGUUAACGGCCGAGUCCGAACAAAACGUACAGAAGUCACGUGACCUUGUGGACGAGAUACUCGCCAGUAAUAAAGUUGUCUAUGGAAUCACAACGGGAUUUGGUAACUUUGCUAGGACAACCAUACCUAAAGAUAAACUUGUCGAGCUCCAAGAAAACGUCAUCCGCUCACACGCAGCAGGUGUUGGUCCUCCAUUAUCCCCUGAGAGGACCCGGAUGUUGCUGGCACUGCGUAUUAAUGUCCUCGCCAAAGGCUACAGCGGGAUCUCAUUGGAAACACUGGAGCAGUACAUGGCAGCGUUUAAUGCAUCUUGCCUUCCAUGGGUCCCCCAGAAGGGAUCGGUGGGGGCUAGCGGAGACCUCGCACCCCUCGCUCACCUCGCGCUCGGCAUGAUGGGAGAAGGGAAAAUGUGGUCGCCAAAGAGUGGAUGGGCUGAUGCUAAACAUGUGCUGGAGUCCCAUAACCUCUCUCCGAUAAAGCCCAAGCCCAAAGAGGGCAUCGCAAUGAUAAAUGGAACACAACUUAUAACAUCGUUAGGAGUUGAAGCCUGCGAGAGGUCGGAGUCCAUUACCAGACAGGCGGACGUCGUCGCGGCCAUGACCUUGGAGGUACUGAAGGGUUCAACCAGGGCCUUCGACAGCAAUAUCCAGAUGGUGCGACCACACAAAGGUCAAGGCCUGGUUGCUAGGCGACUGAGGUCACUCCUUCAUUCAGAAACACAUCCGUCUGAGAUAGCAGAGAGCCACAGGUUCUGUGACCGGGUUCAAGACGCCUAUACGCUUCGGUGUUGUCCGCAGGUUCAUGGCAUCGUGAACGAUACGGUGGCGUUCGUCAAGGGCGUCCUGGUGACCGAGAUGAACAGUGCCACAGACAACCCUAUGGUGUUUGCUGAGACCGGUGAGAUCUUGUCAGGGGGGAACUUCCAUGGGGAGUACCCGGCCAAGGCUCUCGACUACCUGGCGAUCGGGGUGCACGAGCUGGCUAACAUGAGUGAGCGGCGAAUUGAGAGACUUGUAAACCCCGCAUUGAGUGAACUGCCAGCCUUCCUGACUAAAGACGGCGGACUCAACUCUGGCUUCAUGAUCGCACACUGCACAGCAGCCUCUCUCGUGUCCGAGAACAAGGUCCUGUGUCAUCCGUCGUCCGUGGACUCCUUGACCACCAGCGCCGGGACGGAGGACCAUGUAUCCAUGGGGGGCUUCUCCUCCAGGAAGUGUCUCAGGGUCGUGGAACAUGUUGAACAAGUCUUGGCAAUCGAGUUACUGGCAGCUUGCCAGGCGAUGGAGUUUCUGCGGCCACUGAAGACGACGCCACCCCUGGAAGAGGUGCACAAGCUGGUCCGCUCAGUCGUCGGCCCCUGGGAUAGAGACAGGUACAUGGCUCCGGACAUAGAGGCAGUCACUAAGCUACUGCAAGAGGAGCAGAUCUGGAGAAAGGUGAAGCCGAUGAUGGACAACUACCACUCUGUGCAGACCAUUGAGACCAGGGUCUUCUCCCCCACCACCGCCAGACUGGACGGACCACCCCCCAAACGCCGGAGAUACAACAGCAAGACCGUGAAAUAAGGUCCAGAAACAACAGCAAGCCCGUACAGUAACCCCCAGAUACAAAAGGACCGUGAAAUAACCCCACAAUACAACAGCAAGACCCAGAAAUAACCCCCAGAUACAGCAGCAAGACAGUGAAAUAAGCCCCAUAUACAACAGCAAGACAGUGAAAUAAGCCCCAUAUACAACAGCAAGCCCGUACAGUAACCUCCAGAUACAACAGCAAGCCCGUACAGUAACCUCCAGAUACAAAAGGACCGUGAAAUAACCCUACAAUACAACAGCAAGACCCAGAAAUAACCCCCAGAUACAGCAGCAAGAGCGUGAAAUCCCCCACCCCACCCCGAUACAACAGCAAGACAGUGAGAUAACCCCCAGAAAUAACAAGCCCGUGAAAUAAGCCCCA